GAUGAACGCUGGCGGCGUGCUUAACACAUGCAAGUCGAACGAUGAAGCCCAGCUUGCUGGGUGUCUUAGUGGCGCACGGGUGAGUAACACGUGAGUAACCUGCCCUUAACUCUGGGAUAAGCCUGGGAAACUGGGUCUAUUACCGGAUAGGAGCGUCCACCGCAUGGUGGGUGUUGGAAAGAUUUAUCGGUUUUGGAUGGACUCGCGGCCUAUCAGCUUGUUGGUGGGGUAAUGGCUCACCAAGGCGACGACGGGUAGCCGGCCUGAGAGGGUGACCGGCCACACUGGGACUGAGACACGGCCCAGACUCCUACGGGAGGCAGCAGUGGGGAAUAUUGCACAAUGGGCGCAAGCCUGAUGCAGCGACGCCGCGUGAGGGAUGACGGCCUUCGGGUUGUAAACCUCUUUCAGUAGGGAAGAAGCGAAAGUGACGGUACCUGCAGAAGAAGCACCGGCUAACUACGUG
rnacentral:rRNA from 1 species